rnacentral:lncRNA from 1 species
GUUGAAUUUUCCUGAGGGAGGGGCCCCAGGAGAGUUUCGAGACUCAAAGAUGACGAUAUUAUCUGCAAUAUCAAGCACACAAUAAUCUUUGUGUUUUAGUGUUCUCGGAGCCACAGGAGAUUAAGUAAGGAGACUGGGGAGCAAUCUAGCGUUGGAUGGAUAUGAAAGGCAUCAUCUCUACCUCCUGAGGCUUGCAACACCUUCUCCCAUGUGCUGAAGAAACCCAUGUACAUGUAGGAGGACAC